CAACACGUUCAGCUAUACUGUGUGCAGUGCCCUACUCGGGAAGGUGCCUUCACAAAGAUGAUAUAUGUAUGGCACCUUUCUGAGUAGAGUAAUGUGCAACAUAAACAACAUUCGUGUCGG
ensembl:miRNA